rnacentral:lncRNA from 1 species
AAGCUCGGAUUUUGAGAUGUUAGUCUGCUGAUGCUUCCAGCUGACUAAAGCCACUUCCUCCACUCCCUCAGUGUCUGUGAGGUUUUGUCUGCAGCUCAUCCUGCUACAUUUCUUGUUUCCCUGAUCAGGAAGCGAGGUAACUGACGGACGGCUGAGGCAUCCCCUUAGGCAGCUUAGGCCUGCUCUAUGGAGCAUCCCUGUGGGAGACUCUGGCCUGCCUUAGUGACGUGAUCCAAAGAGUGAUCCCAGGUAGGCAAUUGCCCUGGUGGAAUGCCUUGCCAGAGCAGCAUGUGCCAGGCCCACAUGGAGGAUCAACGCAGUGGCUGAACACAAGGGAGGAACUGGCACUUGGAGUGCAGACAUCUGAAACUUGGUUUUUGCAUGAAGAGGAGCAGGAGUCUCGAAGGCACAGCCAGGCAAGCUAAGUUUCCACUUUAUUCUCUGGAUAU